rnacentral:rRNA from 1 species
AACGAACGCUGGCGGCAGGCUUAACACAUGCAAGUCGAGCGAGACCUUCGGGUCUAGCGGCGGACGGGUGAGUAACGCGUGGGAACGUGCCCUUUUCUGCGGAAUAGCCUCGGGAAACUGAGCGUAAUACCGCAUACGCCCUUUGGGGGAAAGAUUUAUCGGAAAAGGAUCGGCCCGCGUUGGAUUAGGUAGUUGGUGGGGUAACGGCCUACCAAGCCGACGAUCCAUAGCUGGUUUGAGAGGAUGAUCAGCCACACUGGGACUGAGACACGGCCCAGACUCCUACGGGAGGCAGCAGUGGGGAAUCUUAGACAAUGGGGGCAACCUUGAUCUAGCCAUGCCGCGUGAGUGAUGAAGGCCUUAGGGUUGUAAAGCUCUUUCAGCUGGGAAGAUAAUGACGGUACCAGCAGAAGAAGCCCCGGCUAACUCCGUGCCAGCCGCCGCGGUAACAC